GAUGAACGCUGGCGGCGUGCCUAAUACAUGCAAGUCGAGCGAACAGAUAAGGAGCUUGCUCCUUUGACGUUAGCGGCGGACGGGUGAGUAACACGUGGGUAACCUACCUAUAAGACUGGAAUAACUCCGGGAAACCGGGGCUAAUGCCGGAUAACAUUUAGAACCGCAUGGUUCUAAAGUGAAAGAUGGUUUUACUAUCACUUAUAGAUGGACCCGCGCCGUAUUAGCUAGUUGGUAAGGUAACGGCUUACCAAGGCAACGAUACGUAGCCGACCUGAGAGGGUGAUCGGCCACACUGGAACUGAGACACGGUCCAGACUCCUACGGGAGGCAGCAGUAGGGAAUCUUCCGCAAUGGGCGAAGGCCUGACGGAGCAACGCCGCGUGAGUGAUGAAGGUCUUCGGAUCGUAAAACUCUGUUAUUAGGGAAGAACAAAUGUGUAAGUAACUGUGCACGUCUUGACGGUACCUAAUCAGAAAGCCACGGCUAACUACGUG
rnacentral:rRNA from 1 species